AGCCGUGGGGGAGGGGAAAGGGCGCGCGGCCUCGGAUGCGCAGACCCUGGGCCGGCGACUCGGGGACCCUGCUCCCUCUUAGCUAAAAAUGACGUCGGCGUUCAGCUCCUCCAACCUCACGUGGACAGGCGAGGGAACCGAGACCCAGAGAGGGCAGGGGACUUUGGCAAACUCACACAGCCCACCGCAGGCAACUGGAACUGAAACCCAGGACUCCGUCUCUUGCCAGUGAAAGUUAUGUUAGGAAGCAGUGAGGGGUCUAAAGCAGUAUGAAAGGCAAAGAGAAAAGGAAGGAAGACUGUACACAGAGAAUAAAUAACUUGGCCAAGCCAUUCAGCUAGGAAGUUGUAGAUCCUAAAUUAAGAGUUCAAGGUCUUAAUGGCUACUCUAUGCGGCCUCUCAUAGUCUUUUCAAGGGUUUUGGAGAAGAAUAAAAGAUCAGGUAUGGCUUCUCCCUCCCCCAGCUCUCUAUUGUUCCCUAAAGGAUUAUUCAUUCGUUCAUUCAUUCCUACAUCCUCCCAUUUAUUCCAGUCAUCCACAGAUGUUUGAGUGGUUACAAUGUGCCAGCCUCCCUUCUAGGUACUGGAGAUAAAGUGGGACAAGAGAGGUGAGGUCUGGACCCUUGGCACUUUCACGAUAAAAUACACAGGUAAACAUUUGCCUUUAGGGCCCCCUGUGAUUACUUCCACUCUUGCAGAUAAGAGGAUAAGGCCUCUUCAGCUUGUUCACAGCAGCUGAAAAGCAAAGCCUCUCUGUCAGUAGAGGUAAAAGAUUAAGAAUGCAGAGUCCGAUGGGGCAUUACCACAUGAUUAUGAAUUAAUGCAAUUUUCCAUCUUUUAUUUCCAAUCCAGGCAUUGCUUUUGAACUCAGUCAUCUUUUCCCCCUUGCCCACUAGUUGCUUGUGAUACAUCAGUAUCCUCACUCACCCCCAACUCCAGAGGCUGAAACUAACUCUCCUCCUCCCUCUUCCAACUGCUGAGGAAGAUGAGUCAAUGGUGUUACUGGACCCUGUGAACUGAUGCUGUGAAGAGAGGCCAUUUAACACGGACUACGGGGAAUGGUGCCACAGGGGGCUCAGUGCUGCCCUUCACUCUCAGCAUUUUGCUCACUCAGCAUUGAUGACAGGAUGUCCCAAAAGUAACAAAAGAUGGGAGCCAGUCCUCUCAUAGCUGUUUCUUCAAUCAUCCCAUCAACAGCUCUUCAUUUAUUGAACUACCUUCCUUUUCCAAAGAGGUAAUGCUGAGAUCAGUCAGAAAGGCUUUCUGAGAAAACUGGCUUGGAUUUCUGGGUCUGUUGCAGUCAAUUCAAGAUGAACUGGCUUGUAUCAAUGAAGCGCUCAAUGCAGUUCACAAAACAGGCCUCAGCCCGACUGUCCAACUUUGGCCCAGGCUUGUCCAUGCACUUCUCCCAACAAAGUUCAGUCAUCUGGUGCACCAGCUGCUGGAAGCGCUGCUUUUGAGUCUCUACCUCAAUGAAAAUGCUGCAACUGCGGGUCCACUGCACCCAAACCCGCCGCAGAGGAAGAGCAGGAGGAAUCCAUCCCAGGACAACCAUGCUUGCAGAGACGAACUCCGCACCAACCUUCACGUGUCUCCACGACCUAGUUAAUCAAUUUAAAAUGAGGUCACUAGGGUGGGCCCCAAUCCAAUAUGACUGAUAACUUUAUAAAAAGGAGAGAUUUGGAUACAGAAAGAGACAGAGUGAAAACCAUGUGAAGAAACAUAGGAAAAGAUGGCAGCUACAAGCCAAGGAGAAGCUUGCAGUGUGUAUUCAUCUGUUCUCAUGCUGUUAAUAAAGACAUACCUGAGACUGGGUAAUUUAUAAAGGAAA
rnacentral:lncRNA from 1 species